rnacentral:misc_RNA from 1 species
AAGGAGCACUGCCACCAGCCUCUAUCGUGGGGUUGGGGUUGGCUUGCCGUCACGAGCGAAUGUCUCGUGGGUGGGUCUGCUCAUAGGUUGUGGAGCACUGGCUAUUCAGACUGGUCGGCUGGGGUCGGCUGCUAGUACCGCCUGGGGUUUCCUGGGAGUGGGAACGGAGCUGGUUUUGGUCGCUGGUCUGGGCACGCUGUUGGGUCCUGAGGGAACGGGCGUUCACGCUCGGGCUUCUCAGGCAGGGCCCUCUCGUGAGGGGGCUCUCCGCGAUACAGGCUGAUCUGGUCACCAUACCGCACUGACGUUGGUUGGUGGUUUGGUGGUGGUGGGGGUUGGUCUGUCCGUGUUUUGAGAACUGCAUAGUGAACGCGAGCAUCUUAUUCUUUUGUAGU